CUGAUUUUUGCACCCUUAGGGCUUUAACUUUUCAAGCUGUCUAUAACUCAGGGCUAAAACUGUUUUCAUGCUGAAGCUGAGAUUCUGACAUAGCUAUGUGAGUCAGCACCUGAGGAGGAAGAGAAAUGCCAAAGUUUGCAAGUCUUUCUAUGAGGAACUGAGCUGGUAGCAUUCUAUACAGUGUAGAUCAUUUAUGCCAGCCCAUUUAGCCUGAGGGUUGAACAUAUUAUUUCAAAAAGGACACAGGGCUCACAAUCAAUACCUCGGGGCCAGCUGGCUGCCCUACUCUGCUCUUUGGGCUUGAUCUUCUUCCCAUUCAAGCUGCUGAGAAAAAUUCCCUGUGACUCGAAUGCUCUGUUUCUGCUCUCAAAAUAUUCAGAAUAGAAAAGAGGGGGAGGGAGCUGGGAUUGAGCUGUUGAAGUGAAGGAGGAGUCUACAGAGAGGUAAUUUCCAUUUUUAUUUACACUUUUAUCCUGUACGAAAAAUAUCAGGAUUGUGCAGUAAAGAAACAUUUGUGUCACAGAUUUCUUUUUAUGAUGUGGAUUUCUGCCUAAGAUAAUUCUUACUGCCUGUAUUCCUUUUGCAGCAUGACUGCUCUAAAAUUUAACUUUGAAAGCAUGGUUGGCAUUAAAAUACAUA
rnacentral:lncRNA from 1 species